rnacentral:rRNA from 1 species
ACGGAAGGCAGCAGUGAGGAAUAUUGGUCAAUGGACGCAAGUCUGAACCAGCCAUGCCGCGUGCAGGAAUAAAGCCCUAUGGGUCGUAAACUGCUUUUGUGGUGGAGCAAUAAGUCGUACGUGUACGGCGAUGAGAGUACAUCACGAAUAAGCAUCGGCUAACUCCGUGCCAGCAGCCGCGGUAAUACGGAGGAUGCAAGCGUUAUCCGGAUUUAUUGGGUUUAAAGGGUGCGUAGGCUGUGGUCCAAGUCAGGGGUGAAAGCCCGGAGCUCAACUCCGGAACUGCCUUUGAUACUGGAUUGCUGGAAUACGGAUGCCGUGGGAGGAAUGAGUAGUGUAGCGGUGAAAUGCAUAGAUAUUACUCAGAACACCGAUUGCGAAGGCAUCUCACGAAUCCGUCAUUGACGCUGAGGCACGAAAGCGUGGGGAUCAAACAGGAUUAGAUACCCUGGUA